rnacentral:rRNA from 1 species
CACUAAGCGGAGGAAAAGAAACUAACCAGGAUUCCCCUAGUAACGGCGAGUGAAGAGGGAAUAGCCCAGCACCGAAGCCUGCGGCAGUUUUGCUGUUAGGCAAUGUGGUGUUAGGGUCGGCUCGUGGGAUUGCCACUCCAUUCGAAGUCCAGCAUUGAGUAUGGUUCCCUGGAAUUGUCCCAGAGAGGGUGAAAGGCCCGUACGAAUGGAGGUUCAGACAAGUAAGGCAAUUCACUAGGCCGGCCUUCGAGUCGGGUUGUUUGGGAAUGCAGCCCAAAGUGGGUGGUAAACUCCAUCCAAGGCUAAAUACAAGCACGAAUCCGAUAGCGAACAAGUACCGUGAGGGAAAGUUGAAAAGUACUUUGAAAAGAGAGUAAACAGUACGUGAAACCGCAUAGAGGUAAACGGGUGGCGUCAAGCUGUUAGCCCGGAGGAUUCAGUCAGCAAGGGUGUUGUGUGUGCGCCUAGCGCAUCUAUCAGUCGGAGUAAGUAUCAGUAGCCCACUGGAAGACGGUGGGCCCGGCUUUAGUCGGGAUAUGCGUACCGGGUGGAUGCCGGAGCAUGCUACUGGCCUAUUGGACUGCCUUGCUGGUGCACUUCCUUCGCGGUGAACACCACGACCGAUGGUACUGCCAGUCUGCUGUAGACAAGUCGUGCAUGAUCAGUUGUUUCAAUUGAUUGUGUUCGAUCACAGGCAAAUUCGGUGGCCGGCGUAGGUCUGCUUCGGUAGAUUUGCGUGUUAUCGUUCAUCGGUUGUCAACGGACUAGAUGAUGGUUGUUGUAUCCGCCAUUGCUUAGUCUGGUGGUCUACGGUGGUACGAAUAACUGUGCAGGGCAUUGGAGUUUUCGGUCUCAAAUGUGGACUACAUCCAUGGUGCAAAUGGCGUGUAUGGGGCAGCGUUGCAGCCUGCCUGUCCUGGGUGUGAUUGUCGUGUCGCCUGCAAAAAGUAGGCCCGGCAGUGACUCGGGGCAGGAUGGAGUUGUUGGCGUUGUUCUGUGUGUAGUCUGCGGUGGACCAAACAGUCAGUGGUGUAGUGGUAGACGAGCUACCCGACCCGUCUUGAAACACGGACCAAGGAGUUUAACAUGUAUGCAAGUCAAGGGGUCUUACGAAACCCAAAGGCGCAGUGAAAGUGAAGCUCCGACUUGUUUCGGGGUGCGGUGAGAUCCUGUCGUUACUCGCACAUGCCAGCACUAGGCAUAGAGCGGCGGGCGCAUCACCGGCCCGUCCCAUGAUGUGGUCAUUGGAUUUCUAUAGCGGCUGCUUGCAGUUGUUGUAGUGCCAGUGCGUCAUCGGGGCGGUGCAUGAGCAUACAUGUUGAGACCCGAAAGAUGGUGAACUAUGCUUGCGUAGGUUGAAGCCAGAGGAAACUCUGGUGGAGGACCGCAGCGAUUCUGACGUGCAAAUCGAUCGUCAAACGUGAGUAUAGGGGCGAAAGACUAAUCGAACCAUCUAGUAGCUGGUUCCCUC